rnacentral:lncRNA from 1 species
UAACUUAAAAUUCAUUAAUCAGAGCAUUGUCUUCUAAUUGGAUCACAAAAGAGGAUGAACUUUAGACAUUCCACAAAUAUCCAUAGUCUAAACAUUUUAUCGAACGGGUGCGGUGCUAUCCAAAAGUAAAUCACGGAUGAGAUAUCUCAUCUCGUGGGUUUAAUAACACAAGGUACGAUUGAGGACGACAGAUAAUGAAUUAGGCUUACGCAGAUCCCACGCCCUCCUCCUGUUCGUACCGGCCUUGCCCAUAUCUGGAGCCCAGGAGGAUCGGACAAACAAGCCACAGUUGUGUGGUGGAAAGGGAGCAUGGGAGCGCUUGAAUGAACUCCUGCUCGGUGGUGUCCUCAUUUAUACCUUGGCCGUCUAUAUUGCUAUUAACGCUAGCAAAUGCUUGCAGGAAAGAUUGGCCCAAAUCUAGAGAAAUUGGUUUGGACAAAACAAUUUAUACC